UCUUAUUAACGACUAUUGUCACCAUAUGCACAAGUAAUCCGUUACUUCAAACAAAAUGCCCUAAAAAUAUUUGUUUAGCUUUAAUGUGUGUUCCUGAUGACCCGGUAUGUACAGGAGGUAAAAUAGUACCUGGUGCUGGUUACUGUGGGUGCUGUGCAGCUUGUGUACGACCACAAGAAGAUUCAAAUGUAGGUAAAUGUGUAGAGAAGAAUAAUAAUGGCUUACUUGGAUCUCAAGAAUUUAAAUGUAAUCCAGAUGGAUCAUUUGCCCCUGUUCAGUGUAAAGGAUCAGUAUGUUACUGUGUUGAUGAUGAAGGAACUCAGUUACCAGGUUACAGCCAAACUAUUGGCCAAACUGCUUCCAUGGACUGUCGUUGUGCUAGAGAUGAAAAUAACUAUAGUAAAACAGGAUUAUUAGGAAAAAUGUUUAAUUGUCAAGAUAAUGGUAAUUAUUCACCCUAUAAAUGUCUGGGUUCUGUCUGUUUCUGUUCUGAUGAAAAUGGUUUGAUAAAAGGAUCAAAGAUAAUAAACAUUGGCGAGUUAUCUUCCCUUCAGUGUACACAAUAAAAUCUAUGUUAUAAAAUCUGA